rnacentral:rRNA from 1 species
AGAGGGAGCAAGCGUUGUUCGGAUUUACUGGGCGUAAAGGGCGCGCAGGCGGGCAUAUAAGUCGGACGUGAAAAUUGCGGGCUCAACCUGCAACCUGCGUCCGAUACUGUUUGUCUUGAGUACAGGAGAGGUGAGUGGAAUCGGCAGUGUAGCGGUGAAAUGCGUAGAUAUUGUCGAGAACACCGGUGGCGAAGGCGGCUCACUGGCCUGAUACUGACGCUGAGGCGCGAAAGCUAGGGGAGCGAACAGGAUUAGAUACCCUGGUAGUCCUAGCCCGUAAACGAUGGGCACUAGGUGUUGGAGGUGUUGACCCCUUCAGUGCCGUAGCUAACGCAUUAAGUGCCCCCCGCCUGGGAGUACGGUCGCAAGGCUG